rnacentral:tRNA from 1 species
CAAAGCAUAGCUUAACUAAAAGCAUCCGGCUUACACCCGAAAGAUUUCAAUAAUACUGACUGCUUUGA